UGCCCAGCAUCUCCUAUCCCUACCUCCUCGUGGUACCGGCCGGAAACUACGUAGGGAAGAUCUUUAAUCGUAGGCUGACAUGGAAGG
rnacentral:ribozyme from 1 species